rnacentral:misc_RNA from 2 species
AAGUCGUAACAAGGUCUCCGUAGGUGAACCUGCGGAGGGAUCAUUACACAAUAACAAGGCGGGCUGGACACCCCCCGCUGGGCACUGCUUCACGGCGUGCGCGGCGGGGCCGGCCCUGCUGAAUUAUUCACCCGUGUCUUUUGCGUACUUCUUGUUUCCUGGGUGGGCUCGCCCGCCCUCAGGACCAACCACAAACCUUUUGCAAUAGCAAUCAGCGUCAGUAAUAACGUAAUUAAUUACAACUUUCAACAACGGAUCUCUUGGUUCUG